AUUGAACGCUGGCGGCAGGCCUAACACAUGCAAGUCGAACGAGUGGCGGACGGGUGAGUAAUGUCUGGGAAACUGCCUGAUGGAGGGGGAUAACUACUGGAAACGUUAGCUAAUCCCGCAUACCAUCGGAUGUGCCCAGAUGGGAUUGGCGAGUGGGGGGGGUAACGGCUAACCAAGGCAACGAUCCCUAUCUGGUCUGAGAGGAUGACCAGCAACACGGGAACUGAGACACGGUCCAGACUCCUACGGGAGGCAGCAUUGGGGAAGAUUGCACAAUGGGCGCAAGCCUGAUGCAGCCAUGCCGCGUGGAUUAAGAAGGCCUUCGGGUUGUAAAGUACUUUCAGCGGGGAGGCGUUACCCGCAGAAGAAGCACCGGCUAACUCCGUGCCAGCAGCCGCGGUAAUUC
rnacentral:rRNA from 1 species